UGGUGGGUAGUUUGACUGGGGCGGUCUCCUCCCAAAGAGUAACGGAGGAGCACGAAGGUUAGCUAAUCCUGGUCGGACAUCAGGAGGUUAGUGCAAUGGCAUAAGCUAGCUUGACUGCGAGAGUGACGGCUCGAGCAGGUGCGAAAGCAGGUCAUAGUGAUCCGGUGGUUCUGAAUGGAAGGGCCAUCGCUCAACGGAUAAAAGGUACUCCGGGGAUAACAGGCUGAUACCGCCCAAGAGUUCAUAUCGACGGCGGUGUUUGGCACCUCGAUGUCGGCUCAUCACAUCCUGGGGCUGAAGUAGGUCCCAAGGGUAUGGCUGUUCGCCAUUUAAAGUGGUACGCGAGCUGGGUUUAGAACGUCGUGAGACAGUUCGGUCCCUAUCUGC
rnacentral:rRNA from 1 species